UACUUAAAUGAAUAUUAUGCAAGAUAAUUAAAAAAAAAAAAAAAUCUUCUUCAUCCUCGUACAAUUUACAUCCACUUAAAUGCAUCAAAUUGUAGUAUCUAGUUGAGUGGGAGAAACUAGAUUGCAAUUGUAAGUGAGUUUGAUCCUAUUGUACUGAAACAUCUUGUAUAAGGUUUGAAGUCUACCAUUAAGAGUUCUUAUGUUCUAGUGGAUCAACCAUCGAUGGUGGAGACAAAGUGAUUCCGAUGAGAUAAAGUAAAGCUUUCGGUGUAUAGAUCAACAGCUACAGACUCUACUGCAGCUGAUGUUGAUGUUGACAGAGCAACGAAUGAAUGUAUUAUUGUACACCCUAAACACCUAACCCUACAACUUUUUCCCAAAAUCAUCCAAAUUAACAUUACAUUUUUAAAAAUUAAAAUCAAAUUGGGAGUCUCAACUCUCAAACGUGAUUAGUGAUUCAACGUUGCUGGUGGUGAUAUUGACGGGGCUUCAUAUUGAAAAUCGAAGAUCAAGUCCAAAAUUUAUGAUCCCGAAGAUAAUAAUCCAUAAAAAUGGUGAAAUUCGUGAUUGUUGUUUAUGUAAUUGGUAAAUAAUCAUUUAAGCAUCAGCAGAUAUGAUUAGAAAGAGCAGAUCUUACAUGAAGGGUAAAUAAUCAUUUCUGAAAGUUGAUCGUUAAUAGCAGAAGAACAAAUAGAUCUCGAUCGCCGGUCAGUAUACUCCCGUCACCGGAGGAUGCCUCGUCGGCGAGAAGUAGAAGAGAAAGUGAAAGGGGAUCUGAGAAUCGGAAGCGCUUUCAGUUCGCCGGCGUCGCCGUUUACCAGGGUUAAACCGAAAUUCAGUUUUAUUGUAUUUCUUUGUGUAGUUUUACGUGGUUUAUAUGCAAUAAUCUGCAAGAAUGAAUUGCUUCAACUUUUUAUUUGUAAAAUAUUUGGAUGAAAUUAAUUU